GGCUGAGUACAGAAUAAAGGGGGAGGGGCGGCGGAAGUGACAUCAUAUACCGAUCGUGGAAGAAGGGCACCAGGGAGGAAUAAAUAGAUGGGAGAUAGGAACAAUCUGGCACCCUGACGAAGCCUGACCCACAGGCCAAAUGCGUUAAUUGCUGAGCAACGGAUCCGGACAUGCUAUACGCUGAUCCCCGGAGCUCAGUUCUUAUGGUCUGCCGGACCUCCGCUAUUACUGCAGCAUUCAUCUCCGCCAGCGGGACCAUCGCUCAAAAAGUCUAUAACAACAAGAAGAUCCUUCAAAUUUGGACCUCGUCGAUAUGCGAAUCGAGGUGGUUGCGGGAUUGCUUUAGCCAAAGUUGGAUCUGUGUUGAUCAAGUGCCAAUGUUCAUGAAUCUUCUUAUGGAUAAAGACAGAGGCAGUGGUAUACAUACUAAUGAAGAGACUUCUGGCAGUGUGAUAGUAGCCCCUGACGAAAAGCAUCAAGCAUUGAAACAGCUGUUGGGCUGUAGUACUAGAACUAUACCCAGAUGGAUGGUCUGUAAGGAAUAAACCCUUUUUUGCUUUCAUC